rnacentral:misc_RNA from 1 species
AGCAGCCGCGGUAAUUCCAGCUCCAAUAGCGUAUAUUAAAGUUGUUGCAGUUAAAAAGCUCGUAGUUGAAUUUCGGGAUCAAUUAAUCGGUCGUGCCUCUGGUACGCACUGGUUUUAUUGGUUUCUCCCUUCUGACGAACCAGGAUGUCAUUAAUUUGGUGUCUUGGAGAAUCAGGACUGUUACUUUGAAAAAUUAGAGUGUUUAAAGCAGGCUAACGCUUGAAUACAUUAGCAUGGAAUAAUGAAAUAGGACGUUUGAUCCUAUUUUGUUGGUUUCUAGGAUCGACGUAAUGAUUAAUAGGGAUAGUUGGGGGCAUUAGUAUUCAAUUGUCAGAGGUGAAAUUCUUGGAUUUAUUGAAGACUAACUACUGCGAAAGCAUUUGCCAAGGAUGUUUUCAUUAAUCAAGAACGAAAGUUAGGGGAUCGAAGACGAUCAGAUACCGUCGUAGUCUUAACCAUAAACUAUGCCGACUAGGGAUCGGAUGAUGUUAAUUUUUUAAUGACUCAUUCGGCGCCUUAC